rnacentral:rRNA from 1 species
UACGUAGGGUGCAAGCGUUGUCCGGAAUUAUUGGGCGUAAAGAGCUCGUAGGCGGUUUGUCGCGUCUGCUGUGAAAACUCGGGGCUUAACUCCGGGCCUGCAGUGGGUACGGGCAGACUAGAGUGCGGUAGGGGAGACUGGAAUUCCUGGUGUAGCGGUGAAAUGCGCAGAUAUCAGGAGGAACACCGGUGGCGAAGGCGGGUCUCUGGGCCGUAACUGACGCUGAGGAGCGAAAGCGUGGGUAGCGAACAGG